CCUACGGGAGGCAGCAGUGGGGAAUUUUGGACAAUGGGGGAAACCCUGAUCCAGCCAUCCCGCGUGUAUGAUGAAGGCCUUCGGGUUGUAAAGUACUUUUGGCAGAGAAGAAAAGGCAUCCCCUAAUACGGGAUGCUGCUGACGGUAUCUGCAGAAUAAGCACCGGCUAACUACGUGCCAGCAGCCGCGGUAAU
rnacentral:rRNA from 1 species